CUGGAGGGGAGUCAACAAAGAAGCUGCGCCAAGAUGAUGUAAUCAUUUUUACAAAUGAAGAUGCUCAGAGAAUCCAAACUCUCCAUGACGAUGCUGUUGUUAUCUCGGCAACAAUAGCAAAUUAUGAUGUAAGAAGGAUCUUUGUUGAUAAUAGAAGUUCGACUAAUGUUUUGUUUUACUCGACCUUCUCUCGAAGGCGACUGUCGGCUG
rnacentral:lncRNA from 1 species